UGCCUACGGGAGGCAGCAGUGAGGAAUAUUGGUCAAUGGCCGAGAGGCUGAACCAGCCAAGUCGCGUGAGGGAAGACGGCCCUACGGGUUGUAAACCUCUUUUGUCAGGGAGCAAGGGGCGGGUCGAGACCUGCUGUGAGAGUACCUGAAGAAAAAGCAUCGGCUAACUCCGUGCCAGCAGCCGCGGUAAUACGGAGGAUGUGAGCGUUAUCCGGAUUUAUUGGGGUUAAAGGGUGCGCAGGCGGAGGCACAAGUCAGCGGUAAAAUCGCGGGGCUCAACCCCGCUCCGCCGUUUAAACUGUGCC
rnacentral:rRNA from 1 species